rnacentral:tRNA from 1 species
UCCCGGGUCGUCCAAUGGCAGGACCGCAGACUUUGGAUCUGCUAAUGGUGGUUCGAAUCCACCCCCGGGAA